CAAGCGGUCACUCUCCCUGGGCUCUGUGCAAGUGGCACAUGGGGGCACAGGGCUCUGCCCUACAAUGUUCAGUCUCUUUCUACGAUGUUAGAGAUGAAGCCAGACUUCAAGUCUGAGCCUGCAUGUUCCUGCAACUUCUCGGGGUCUUGUUGACUGAGGAGACAAGCAUGCAGGAAAAGGCC
rnacentral:snoRNA from 1 species